UGCCAUAGCUUUUGGUUGCACCACAUCGGAAGUAAAUAAAAUACCCUAAAUAAUAAAACCUGACCGGGUUUCAAUAUUGACUGCAAGCUAAAAAUAUCGAGAGAGGGAAAAUUUAGUUGACAAGGAUAAGAAGUAAAGAAUCCAGGACAUUUGUCCAAAGAUGGCAAAACCCACGAAGUUUGUUAUGGAUUUCUUCAGAGGUCGAACUGUCUAUGCUCAGGCUGCAGCUGUUGGUACAGUUCUAACUUUAUUGAAGCUGCACAUAGAAGACUUACAUUACAGGGUUGAAACUAAGGCAUCUCAAUUAUGUGCCAGACGAUGGCUGAAUCGCGGGAAUCAGUAGCCUCAAGAGAAUCUUUGUUAUUUUAGAAGAAACUUUAUGUAUUGCUAAUGAUAUAAAAAUUAAAUUAAAUGUUUAUAAAGUGAU